UUUCCGUAGGUGAACCUGCGGAAGGAUCAUUAAUGAGUUGUCAUGGGGUUCGAUGCUGGCAGCCAAUUUUUGGAUGCAUGUGCUUGCCCUAACAAUCAUCUUCCAAACACCUGUGCACAUUUUUGAGGGAGUCUUGAGUUGGUUGCCGCUCUUGGGUGAUUUUCUCACAUUCCCUUAAAUCAUUAUACGCUAUUAACAAUGUUGAACGUGCUCUGUGCCGCAAGGCUAUUAAUAUAAUACAACUUUUAACAACGGAUCUCUUGGCUCUCGCAUCGAUGAAGGACGCAGC
rnacentral:misc_RNA from 1 species